rnacentral:miRNA from 1 species
GACGUCGAAUAUCGACGUCAUCAACACCAAAGUUGAUCGUGUUUAUGACGCCGAAUAUCGACGUCAUAAACACCAAAGUUGAGCGUGUUUAUGACGUCGAAUAUCGACGUCAUAAACACCAAAGUUGAUCGUGUUUAUGACGUCGAACAUCGACGUCAUAAACACCAAAGUUGAUCGUGUUUAUGACGUCGAAUAUCGACGUUAUAAACACCA